CCAGUUUACAAACUGCCUUUUUUGGUGUGUGCACACUCAACUUCUACUAAUGACUACUUUGGUGAGUCAUCGGUAUUGCUGCUGUUAUUUCUGAACUUUUGACAUUUCAUGGUGUGAGAAGUUGAAUUCAGAGAAGACGCCUGAUGACUCGGAGACCGGUGAGCAAACAGGUGCCGGUGCCCACAGAGCCUGCCGAGCCCCCGGCUUUUUUGCGACCCCAGAAUUUGAGGGUCAGUCUCUCUUGGAUCCAAGCUCCACUUUCUUUGUGUUUGGAGCUCUCAGACUAUAUUGUGAUUUUAUUUGUGGAAGUGUCUUGAUCUUUCACUACGGCCAUUUUCAAGUCUUUUGCCAUAUACAGACAGCUUUUCUCUGAGGCUUUUGCAAAGUGUUCCUGCAAAAAUGCUUCAUGUUCAAAAAGAUCCAUGGAAAAGCCCCUGAUGAAUAUUCUAAAAGCUAUAAGCUGGACAGGAUUAUGAAUUCUUCCAGUUUCCUCUAAUAUUUGGCUAGAACUCUCCAAACAAACAUUUCCAAUCUUCUCCCAUUCUUUGGACUUGGAAUCACUAUGAAACUAACAUCGCAUCUUUCCAAAGCCAUGCAAGCUGAAGCUGGACAAUUUGAUGUAAACUUCAGGGAAACCACUGCAACAGCUCACGUGUGGACAAUUUUCAUGCCUGUGGCUGUGUGGCCACUCAGAAAGAUCACCAGAGACAUUCACACUGCAAACCAGAAAAAUUUGUCGGAUUGCCGCUGCCUGCCCUCGCUCCACCGGAAGAUGCUUAGAACCUGACAUCUAGACAUCUUCUCAACUGGCUGUGAUCCAAACUCAGAAGCUGAAUUUAUAAUUUUCCCAAACUAUUAACCUUUGUUUUUCUUAUGUUUCUGUAGAAAUGCCUCUCAUUAAGUCACCUGAUUGCUCACAUCAUGUAGAGGUCUAACUUAAUUGGAAGGUCACCAACAAUAGCACCUCCUGAAAGGAAACACCCUCAUGUUCAUGCUGUCCUGAGUAGCCAUGAGGAUGCGUGUUUACUAGCGUAUCGUUUUGUGCUUAUGUAAAUAACUUAAAAACAAUUAUAACCUGUUUGCGUUAUAUAACUGGUUAAACCUUGGCUCUUUUGGGGAAUCUCUACUCUGGGGAAUUUCUCAAUCCUUGGCUGUUAUUCUUACAGUCAUCAUCUUAACCUCUCUGGCACGUGAUAUACUCGUGAGGGUUUUAGAUGCCUGCCGGCAGCCACUCAAAUGCCAAACGGUAUCCAUCAGAUUCAGAGAACGGGACGAAAUCAAAAAUAACCACAAAUAAUGAAGACAGUGACUACAUGGCCCUCUGUCCUGACAACUCAGUGGGAACACUGAAGGUGUAACUCUUCGAUCUGGCUAUAUCAGCAGUGUGAUGAAAAGCACCAGCUUUCUCUCACAGAGCUUCCAGUCCAGUGAGGUCCCCCAAACCUCUCUCUGCAAGGACUACUGCAGCUCCUAAGUGUUCUCUGCUCCAUACGACCCUUGGCUUCCAGGAAUGAUUUCCAGAAGAUUCCAGUUACGGUGCACUAUCUGGGAGAAGUAUCACAUUGUCCUGUUAUCGUCCAUUUCGAACGAUCAGUUUGUUGGCUGAAAUAGCAUCUCUCUUGGCAGAGAUCACAGGAUCAGAGACAGUGAGAUGUGAGGCCAGCUCCCUCCAGAAGCUUGUGCUCAGUUCUGGAGGAUCCCACCACGGGAAGACUGGGGGAGUUUUGCAAUUUUUUUGGUUUCAUUUUGUAUUUAUAAUUUAAAAAAUGUUGAAUUGCGGUAAAAUACACAAAGCAUAAAGUUUAGCAUAUUAGCCAUUUUAAGCAUGUAGUUCAGUAGCAAUAUGGUACAUUCCCACUGUGGUGUAACCAAUCUCCAGAACUUUUUUGUCUUGCAAAACUGAACCUCUGUAAACAUUAAACAACAACUUUCUAUUCUCCCUCCCCACCCCACCCCCGCCCCACCUCAGCCCUGGCAACCACCAUUCUACUUUGUUUCUAUGAAUCUGACUACUCAUGUAAGGGAAAUCGUACAGUAUUUGUCCUUUCGGGAUUGACUUAUUUCACUUAGCAUAUGUCCUCAAGGGUCUCUCAUGUAGCGUGUGUCAGAUUUUCCUUCCUUUUUAAGGUUUGUUAACAUUCCACUAUAACAUUAUAUAUGUUUAUAUGAAUAUAUAAUAUUCCAUGUGUUUAU